GGGAAACCGGGAUUAAUACCAAAUAAAAUCAUAAUGACACAUGUCAUAACGAUCAAAACUCCGGUGGUCUAAGAUGGACUCGCGUCCCAUUAGCUAGUUGGUAGAGUAAAAGCCUACCAAGGCGACGAUGGGUAGCCGGCCUGAGAGGGUGAACGGCCACAUUGGAGCUGAGAAACGGUCCAA
rnacentral:rRNA from 1 species